UACGAAGGGGGCGAGCGUUGUUCGGAAUUACUGGGCGUAAAGGCGCGUAGGCGGCCGAUCAAGUCAGAUGUGAAAGUCCUGGGCUUAACCUGGGGACUGCAUUUGAUACUGAUUGGCUUGAAUGCAGGAGAGGAUAGCGGAAUUCCCAGUGUAGAGGUGAAAUUCGUAGAUAUUGGGAAGAACGCCGGUGGCGAAGGCGGCUAUCUGGACUGUGAUUGACGCUGGAGGCGCGAAAGCGUGGGGAGCAAACAGG
rnacentral:rRNA from 1 species